AUCGAUGAUGAUACAUCUGACUUAAUCGUUGAUUUAAAGAAAGCAUUCAAAUCCGUAGAGCCAUCGAGCCCUAAAGAUAACAAUAAUACGAACAACUACAUACCUAAAGCCCUAGAAAAUUGUAGACAAGUAUUUGUCAGGGUUGAUAAGGUCAAAACAGGACUUCAAGCUCCCUAUGACGGUCCAUAUACCGUUGUUCGAAGAUUCAGAAAAUUUUUUGUCAUUCAAAUGAAGGAUAGGAAUGAAUCAAUUUCUAUUGAUCGACUCAAACCCGCUUUUGAGUGUGAAGCUCAUACUAAGGCAACCAAGCCGCUGGAAAAGUCCCCCGUAACGAAAAAACAUGUUCAUUUUCGCUAAGAAUAAGACCGCCGAGUCCGCAAUAAGCGUUUGACGGCAGAUAUAAAAGCGUGACUACGUCACUGGAGGGGGAUCGUGUGGUGUUCGGCACCACUGGUGGUGUUGCGCUCCUGGCUGCUUUUCCGAAUUCACCACUUUCGAGCGUCACACUGUGGUAAGAUUAAGUUAGUGUAGGUAGGUAGCGAUGUAAUACGAAGUAUAGGACACGAAGUAUAGGAUACGAAGGAUAGGACACGAAGGAUAGGACACGAAUAGGAGCGAUCGGAUGCGCCGAUCGUGGUCCUCGAGCUUGCGAGCGAUCGGAUGCGCCGAUUGUCGCUCUCUCAUCUUUCGACCGCCAAUCAAUACGGUUCACUCAUCGCAAUUGUCACGUUAAAUAAAAUAAAUUGUAUCGCGCAAGCCCUACACAACCAACGCAUCGGAUCAUUAAACACGAUUGACAAAGUUGAGUUGGGAUUUAACUGGAGUGACGUAUUGCUUAUGACUUGGCAAACCCUGUAUAUGGGCUAUUUGGUUAUUUACAGUUCACCUCAGUUAUUUUUUAAACUCCUGCCUGGUAUCUCAACAUGUACUUCAAUCGUGUUUGCUUUGCAAUAUUGUCCUUAUUCCAACCACAUUGCGGUGCCGUGGGUUUGUGGGCAUCAGAUAAUUGUGUUUUAAAAAUCCGCCCAGACCCUCGUUAACCAGCCGAUACAACCAGAUGGCAUGGCGCAGCAAGGCCUAGGAUGCAUGCACAGCAUGCAAACAAUUGGCUUUGCGCUUCCAUUUUCCUGUUUAUAGCGCCAGCACUGUCAACAAGGCGCCAUUACUGCGCUGGACAAGGAGGCAUUGAUUCCGUGCCGUUUUAAUUAGCGCAAAGAGUAUUAUCGCCACGCGAGUGGGCAUCCUCAUUAAAAGUGAAAACAGUGCAACAGUGCAGUGUAGAACAAGCAAACCAAAAGUGGACAUGAAGCAACACUGUGAGGAAUAGUCACCAACGCCGGGAAGUUUGAAAAAUAGCUUAAAUAACUUCGCAAAGCAAAGUUUUUAACAAUGGAGAUUCAAAACUUGGAACGCUGCUUUGCGUUUGCACGGAUUUAGCAUUUUUCACGUUUUAUUUUUGUUUGGUGUUUUUUUUUUGCAGUUGUGCUCAACUGUUUUGCUCCUCUAGGACUUCUUACACACCGGCCAGAUUGCCUCGGUUAAGCCUUUAUCGAUGAAACAAGCGCCGUCAUCGAUACGUUGCAGAAAGUCAGACGAAGGGAGUGAAAAGAUGGUGACACGGUGGAAAAGUGAGAUGACGGGAGGAAAAUUAACAUUCCUUGGGGUUGCUUCUGAAGGGUUUUUGUUUUUUCGGUUAAGAAACCCCAUCCAACAGGUCUCGAACACUUGUGCGAAAAACCGUUACUGCGCCCUUCCCACAUUCGCUAACCGGGGGCAGGGGAUGCAAAACACCGUGCGGCAGGGAAAAAAAAACCGAUGAAAAUCUAACACUCGCCGUAUCACGUUUUUGCGCGCUUGUAUGUGUGUCACAAUUUAUCGGGCUUUUCUUUCCCAAAUUUUGCUGCCUACGAGUGUUCUGCGCCGUGUGUGUGGGCCAUGUGUUGCAUAUUUCAUGAGAUGACGGCAGUACGGCGAAAGCAAGAAUGGUUCCGACAACGCGCGCCACACCGAGGUGACGCAUUGAAAGUUAUCCUUUUCCUUGCUUUGCUGUUAUUCUCGUCCUCUCCCGUAUCUUCCCUCGGGCUACUAGUUCAAAGACAUUUGACCAUUUUUAGGCAGUCUCGGAAAAGAAAAAGGAAAAAUCCAAACCGAGCGCUGUGAAAAUCAGGAUGAAUAAUGUUUAAAAAAAAAACCCCGCUCUCACCUAACGCACGGCUCUGAUUGAGGCGGAAGAGGAUUUGGGUUUACUUGCUCGUGCGUUUAUGAACCAAACGGUGCCCUGCGGCCAAGGUGAGCGGCCACAAGCGCCGGCCAUCUCAAAGGGUCUCGCACCCAACACGGAAAAGCACUUCCAACGCGCUAUGGCAUCCAGGCAACACACUUAAUGCGCUAAUACGAAAGCAACCUCCGAUAAGCCAACUGAUGGGCGGUAUGGGUUUGUUUGUAUGAGCGCGAGGAAGAGGGAGGGGUGGUUCGGGGCACAAAUCAACGGGAUAAGCAGAUAACUGUGCGCUGCGUUCAAUUUAUGAGCGAGUCCGUCAGACCGCUCUAAAGUGCGCUCUUGAGCCAAGGUCAGUGGGCUGCUCGGUAAAUGUCAGAAUCCUGGACGAAGGAGAGGAGUCUGGAGCAAGCCUCUUUGAGAAGGGUUUAAACGUUCCCGGAAUAGACGGUUUCGGAAGGAAGCGUGUCUUGUUCUUUUAUUAUUUUUUUUGUUUCUUUGUUGUUCGGUUGCUGGUUUGGGCAGGGUAGGGGAACGGCUGUUAUUAUGGUUAAUUUGCCGAUGCUGCUGGCUACAAGAAAAUUAAAUAAAAUCAGCGAGUAAAUUGAAAUCUUUCGUGGAAUCAGCGCUGCGCGGUUCAAUCUUUAGCCAGCUUUUCCCCUUUCUAUUCGUUUGCGUUAUCGAAUUGAAUUAUCAUGAUUUCGGUUCUCUCCCGUCGAUUUGUUACGUGCAAAUUAUAUUUAUUCCUUUUUUCCUUCUUUUCCGAAUUCGAACUUAUUUUCCAUACGUUUAUUCAUUUAUCAUUUUCCUUUGUUGCUCAAUUUAUUAGAGUUUUACCGUUUUUUUUUUUCACUUUUGUAUAGCUUUUUUGUAUUUUAAAUUAAUUGAUUCUCUUGAAAGCAAUCAAACUCUUAUUUUUAGUUUUUGAUUUAUGAUUGUUUAAUUCUCUAUGUGUAAGCAAUUUCAAUUUUUUAUCACCGUCAAUUUCAAACAGUCAACUGUAACAGUAAAAUGACAAUUUAUUUUAUGUUUAUAGAUUUCUAUUAAAUUUACCAUUUACUUCAUGCUAUAUCUUUUCAACAAAACCAUACGGGCAAUACACGCAUAAAAUGAUUAAUCUCGUAAUUAGGAAUAUCACGUCAAACCCGCUACACUUUUAAGAAUUUGACAAACACAAAAAUAUUAAUCAAACAAUUCUCGUCUAUGAGGGCUUCAUGUCUUUCUUUGGUAUUUUCGUUUUUCACACCAACUUUCACUUCACUUCUUCUUUCUUUCAUAUCUUGUUCCUCAAUUCAACGUCGACCAGGGAAAAACUCUCGAGUAAUAUAGCAGCAGCAGCAGCAGCACAAGCAGCAGUAGGCUGCUGAUUGAAUAAAUGAUCAGCUUACGCGGUUCAGUUCACCUUUUCAGCUACCCGCAACCUACUUCUUGCGUUGCGGCGGGACGUCCUUCCUGUGAAGCUCAAUUAUUAUCCGCUCAGCGGCUCGUUGACUUUGUUACGCGAUUAAUUAUUUACGGCUUGGCUGACAUAUGAAGCAUGGUUUCGGAUUUGCUUUGCUUUCGCACCCCUCCUGCUAAUUCGGUCCAGGGUGAGCUCUUGCAAUCCCCCAAAGUCAAAGGGUUAAGAGGAAGACGGGGUCGAAUCGAACAGCAAAAGAAGAGAACAGGCGGGGAAGAGAAAAGCUUGGGAAUCGAGACGCAGGACCCUUUUGUUGUCGCUCCCUUUCUUGGAAAUUCAAUUUAACAAUGAUUCGUCUCUUCCUUGUUAUUUACCUGGCUGCUCUGGACCCUGGUAUUCUCUUUCUCUCUCACUCUCUGUGUAUAUCUAUCUCUUACUCACUCUCUAUCUCUCUAUCUCUCUCUCUCUCUCUCUCUCUCUCUCUCUCUCUCUCUCUCUCUCUCUCUCUCUAUUUUUUUCUCUUGUCUUUUAUAUCUUGGGCUGUGAUCACUUUCACCAAGUGCUUUGGCAGGUUUUACUUAAUAUACGGGCCACACCAGGAUGUGGAGAGAGUUUUGCAAAUUAAAAUUAAUCCUUCCGACAGGUGGCAAACUUUCGCAGCACAUACACACAAACACUCACUCACCUAAAAGCAACUGACAGACAGCCUACACAGCCAUUGUUCGUUUUUGUUUAUUUUUGUUUUGUUUCCAGUGAAAUUUAGAGACUCCGUGUUGCCGUGGAUGCCUUAAACAGUUUGCAAAACAUCGCUGGAACGACAGGUUUAAAGUUAGAGAGGAAGUUACUAACCCCUUUUCCUUCUCUUAUCUUUCCUCCCUUCGCCAAAAGAAGCGUGUCACGAUGUAUACGCAACGAUUAGUCGGUCCCUUGGGACCGCAUACACGCCCAACGUGACGGACGAACGCAACCCAUAAAGCUAUGCACAGCGGAAUGUCACGUAAAAAUGUAGCAAAAGUGAGCAUACUUGCAAAGCUGAGACGAAAUGAUGUAUUCAAACUAGAAAUAGAAUACAAUAUCCGUUUUGUUGAGUUGCUCACGCGAAAAGCGAGUUUUAGAUAAAGUAGAUAAGAAACACAAUUAUCUUUGGGAAAGGUGAACUCCACAGUGCCGCAACAUCCUGGUUGGGCGCUCGCACGCGUUUGCAAGAGUCGCGUGGGAGUGUAUGGCCAGCAGUGUGUUUGGCCAAGCAGGGGGUCUAAAUUUAACUGGCGCAACUUUCAGUCCUGCGUUUGCGGUGGGUCAGGAAACAGCGUCGCUAGUGUUGGCUAUAUGUAACGGAACGAAGGCAUUUCAUUCACGACGUUAAAAAUUGUUUAUUCGUCAACCCGCCGAAUCGAGGACGGGGCCAUGCUUUCUUCCCUACCAUUCACAGUAGCCCUCCUUUCCUCACUUCCACUGUAGCACGGUGGUAUGAAUUCUAUUUCAAAAUUGACCGACCACCAAAAGAGAAACGGGAACAAACCACAACCACGCGCCAAACAUUCACAAUGCGCACCGUACCCACGGCGUCUCCAUUCGCCAUUCGCUACCUUUUCCCACGGCUAGAUCCACACGGACAGAGUCGUGAACGAGAAUGGCAUGUAAACAUUGUCGCCCCUCCCAGCUCAUUCCACCAUUCUUCCUUGGUAUACAGUUACCCUUUUUUGUUUCUUCCCUUUUCGUUUCAGUCCCUAUAGCAGUGAUGUCAAACUUGUUUUGGAUCGCGGGACGGAUUAGGGUUAAAAAUAUUCUCGCGAGCUGCUCUUAAGGGGAGGGGGGGGGGGCGUUUAUUCCAUCGGGCAAAAUCAUUUAGGACUAUAUCUAUCUAUCUAUCUAUUUAUCUAUAUUUUUUCGUAGCCCCCAACAAAGCUUUUAAUAACAGAUUGUCUAUCAUACAUAUUUCAUUGGGUAGAAAUAAGGAAUCAUGGAAAUAACAUUAUUACAACCAAAGCAGUUCAUGAAAUUUACUGAUUCUUUACUUUAGUGAAAAAAAUGCUACCGACUAAUAACGAUAAUUCAAAAUUUUAGCACUACAUCGGCAAAUAUUGGCUGGCUAUGUGGCCAUUUUGUUAAGGAAAAGAGACUACCAACUUACAGUCCACCUCAUACAAUCCAUGUCAUUUUAAAAUUAUUGUUUUUUGUGAAGUCUUUUAAAGAUAUCGGCCUGAUUUUUGCAGAACUAUAGCUAAAAGAAUAGCCUCAUCAAUGAAUUAAAAAAAAUGGUAUUCCGAUACAUGGUUUCCGAACUUCCCGGAAAGCCUCAAAGUCAGAUAAUGGGUGAAAAUAUGGGGAGUCCGACUUUAGGGUGCCGCCAAGAAACAACUACUAAACACAUGCUACAUACCAUCUUCGUGGAUACCUUCCCAAACAAGAAACAAUAUGUAACUUACUUCACAGAUCGUUAAUGGAACUGUAAAGACUAAAUGUUGAAACCUACAGUGGAUAAACAUUAGUACACCCGUUUUUCUUAACUUAUAAUCUACAAUAUAUUUCUGUUUCAUUCAAAUCACUGCCAAAGUUCUUUGCGGGCCGGAUUGAAAGUUUUCGUAUGCUUGACAUGUCUGCCCUAGAGGUUCGCCUAUGGGGCAAGACGCCGCAGACAAUCGUGAUGCUACAGUUGUGCUUUAUUUGGGGGCGAUUGAGUAGCACAACCUUAAGCACCGGCUGUGGUCAGAUUAUAUUUACUCCUUCGUGCUUGCUCCUUUACUGCGUAUCCUUCAGGCCCACACCAGUGCAAUCGGGAAACAGCUGGAAGGUAAUCUUCGUUAUAGUUUACGGCAAACACAAAGAUACACAAAUACACCGUCGGUUGCGAUAAAUUACAAGAUAGGUACCUUCGCUGGAAAAUUUGAAAAUUUUAGCGUAACUUUAAUUACACACAUAAACACACACACACACGUGCGCGCAAGGAGGCACAAAACAGGAGAGCAAGGAGCAAGGAGAACUACAGGCACAGAGACAAAUCUUCGUACGACACCCAGGGGAAAAACCCAGAACCCUUACCUGGGAACAUGGGAUUCUAUCCCAGUAAACAACUCUCCUUGACUCUUUCACACCCACAGACUUACCUUUCGGUAUAACAUCGCAAGAGGAGCAGUACAGCGGCACACACAGACGCAAUCAUGUUUUGAAAGUUCCGUAAAUGUUCACGCGUAAGUAUAUUAAUGCACAGGCACUCCACUACUAAGCUAGCCCCGUCAGCUGCGCCUCCUGCGACUAACGAUCAAGUUUACUCAAAACCAUUCGCAUUAUUAUUAUUAUGUAAUGCAAUGGGCACAGUGGCCUAAUUGAAGAUAAAAAAUAAGUUCUCAGCUGUCCUCCACGAUUCAGCAUUCUUCAGCAUCAGUUGCCUGGUUUGCCUGGUUCACAGUUGCUCCAACCAUCGAGUACAAUUCGCGACGCUUCUCCUCAAAUUUCCAGCAUUCGAAUAGUACCGUUGGCAGGUGUCUCGUCUACUGCCGCACAAGAUGGACAACUUGGCGAUGUUGCAUGAUAGAAUCUAUUUGAAUAGCUCCUGAAGCAGCCAUGGUCAGAUAAGAAUUGUGAUAGUGUGUGUGCGUGUUUUUUUUUGUUUUACAAGGAGGGGGAAUGUUCGAAAGAUUUGCCUUUACCCAUGGUUUGCACCUUUCGGUAUGCUUCUUAGGGAAGGGCUAUGGAUUAGCAUUACAUCUCGCUAUUGCAACAUGGACCACAUUUGCGAGACAUAAUAACAGUCCUGGAAGCACUCGUAUUGUAACACAGAGAACCGGAAAUACGGUCACUUGAAUUACAGGCAGAGGUGGAUUUUUCUAUAAGUGGACUGAGUUGCGGGGGAGCCGACCUAAAGAGGGCCUCUACAUAAACCUCGAUCUGUUCGCUUUUCUAAGCGAUUGAUUUUUGCUUUUUUAUUCAUGCACAUACGAACAGAAAACUAAAUCUAUCUCAAAGAAGUACAUUUUUACAAGUAAAUGUAUGGAAUAUGUUUAUAACGUUAAUAGCUACCUAAAGAUGUAACAAACUUUGAAGAUAAUUUUUGAAGACCUAGAGAAACUUAACACAGGUCAAAUUUUUCUAAGAGCUUUGUCGAUGGUCUCGAUGGCAAGUAUGAUAAGUUUACAAGUACACAAGUACAGAAUAAUCAUUGUCGUACAUUUGGAUUUCGGGCAAUUUUUUGUAUCUGUGAAACAGGAAA